rnacentral:miRNA from 10 species
UGGUGCAAAAGUAAUUGCGGUUUUUGCCAUUAAAGGUAUGACAAAAACCGCAAUUACUUUUGUACCC